CCUACGGGCGGCAGCAGUGGGGAAUAUUGGGCAAUGGGCGAAAGCCUGACCCAGCAACGCCGCGUGAAGGAAGAAGGCUUUCGGGUUGUAAACUUCUUUUGACAGGGAAGAGCAGAAGACGGUACCUGUCGAAUAAGCCACGGCUAACUACGUGCCAGCAGCCGCGGUAAUACGGAGGUGGCAAGCGUUGUCCGGAUUUACUGGGUGUAAAGGGCGUGUAGCCGGGCUGACAAGUCAGAUGUGAAAUCCGGGGGCUCAACCCCCGAACUGCAUUUGAAACUGUUGGUCUUGAGUAUCGGAGAAGCAGGCGGAAUUCCUAGUGUAGCGGUGAAAUGCGUAGAUAUGAGGAAGAACACCAGUGGCGAAGGCAGCCUGCUGGACGACAACUGACGGUGAGGCGCGAAAGCGUGGGGAGCAAACAGGAUUAGAUACCCGAGUAGUC
rnacentral:rRNA from 1 species